CUCUGGAGUGCCAAAAUCGCUUUUCUGUGCUUUGUCACCGUUAUUUCUUGAUGCGCAUCAGUUCUAGCGCAUUAAUAUGUUUUAUCGAAAAAGGGUUUGAAAUAGGUUUCUCCAUAAUGACAAUUUAAAUAGCCUACCUACAACUUGGUAAAAGGUUGUCACGACGUGUGCUCGUGCUUCUCUGUCUCCUUUCACUCACGAGACUAAGCUGCCUGCUGCAGCCCACAGUCUCAACACACACAUCCGUCCGGGCCUCCCGCCCGCCCUCCCCACCACUCACUCAGAAACAGGCUGACUCACUGCCUGAUAGUCAGCAGCAGAAGGGCACAGUGAAAUGUCCAUGGCGGCCGGGAAACCUUCAACCCGCGACCAAUGCAUUUUCGCCAGUGAGAUCGUUUUCAAGGUCGUACAAGAUUAUGCAGUUCAGUAACAUUCAGAGCAUCAUCGACUGCACAGAGCCCAAUGAGCACCUGCUCUGCAGUGAGCUCUUCAGGUGGAUAGUGAGUGAGAUUUACAUAGUGUGGAAGAUCUGUAAUGGACGUCAGUAGAGCAGGGGUCUGACGUCUGGAAGCCUUGGGAACACAUCUACUCACUGUGUAAGGUGGUCAAGGGCCACAAGCCUCUCUAUAACGUCUAUGGGAAGAAUGCGGUCAAACUAUACUGGAUGAUGUUUGAAUUUACCCUCAUGUUCAUACCAUGUUAAAUGAUGGAACGUCCCCAUACCCGAAGACAUCCUCGCUGCUUCUGAACUCCGCCGGUCAGCUAAUUUCCACCGGGGCAACUGGGAGAAAAAGACAAUCCAUAAUUCAUUUCAGUGGGCUGCACAUAGAAUGGAGGACGCAGUUGCAGGCAGCCUUAUCCACUCAGGCACGAAUCAAUCAGUCUCGCAGCUGUGCUAAUGCGAAGGGGCUUCGCACGUCGACUGAUGAAUAGAUAGGGCUUUACAGGAGUUAUCAGCCUCGGGAUAUUACCUUUAAGACAGCAAGGUGGUGGCACUCCGAGUCUUGCUAUGGGGCGUCCUGAAUUGGAUCAUUCCAAAGCAGUGUCAGUAGUCAAUAAGUGUCGUGUCAGGACGGAGCUGGGAGAGUUUACUGUCAUCCACGCUUUGACCGGAUGGAUCCAAGGACAUAUAGCCACUACAUCAGGAGACACACUUGCAGCUUUAUUUUUUCACAGCCA
rnacentral:lncRNA from 1 species